AUUGAACGCUGGCGGCAUGCCUUACACAUGCAAGUCGAACGGCAGCACGGGUGCUUGCACCUGGUGGCGAGUGGCGAACGGGUGAGUAAUACAUCGGAACAUGUCCUGUAGUGGGGGAUAGCCCGGCGAAAGCCGGAUUAAUACCGCAUACGAUCUACGGAUGAAAGCGGGGGACCUUCGGGCCUCGCGCUCUAGGGUUGGCCGAUGGCUGAUUAGCUAGUUGGUGGGGUAAAGGCCUACCAAGGCGACGAUCAGUAGCUGGUCUGAGAGGACGACCAGCCACACUGGGACUGAGACACGGCCCAGACUCCUACGGGAGGCAGCAGUGGGGAAUUUUGGACAAUGGGCGAAAGCCUGAUCCAGCAAUGCCGCGUGUGUGAAGAAGGCCUUCGGGUUGUAAAGCACGUUUGUCCGGAAAGAAAUCCUUGGCCCUAAUACGGUCGGGGGAUGACGGUACCGGAAGAAUAAGCACCGGCUAACUACGUGC
rnacentral:rRNA from 1 species